rnacentral:rRNA from 1 species
CGGACGGGUGAGUAACGCGUGAGAAUCUACCUUCAGGACGGGGACAACAGCUGGAAACGGCUGCUAAUACCCGAUAUGCCGAAAGGUGAAACGUUGUUUCGCCUGGAGAGGAGCUCGCGUCCGAUUAGCUAGUUGGUGGGGUAAAAGCUUACCAAGGCGACGAUCGGUAGCUGGUCUGAGAGGAUGAGCAGCCACACUGGAACUGAGACACGGUCCAGACUCCUACGGGAGGCAGCAGUGGGGAAUUUUCCGCAAUGGGCGAAAGCCUGACGGAGCAACGCCGCGUGGGGGAAGAAGGUUUUUGGAUUGUAAACCCCUUUUCUCAAGGAAGAACAAAAUGACGGUACUUGAGGAAUCAGCCUCGGCUAACUCCGUGCCAGCAGCCGCGGUAAUACGGAGGAGGCAAGCGUUAUCCGGAAUUAUUGGGCGUAAAGCGUUCGUAGGCGGCUGUUCAAGUCUGCUGUCAAAGACCGAGGCUCAACCUCGGGUCGGCAGUGGAAACUGGAUAGCUAGAGGUCGGUAGGGGCAGAGGGAAUUCCCAGUGUAGCGGUGAAAUGCGUAGAUAUUGGGAAGAACACCGGUGGCGAAAGCGCUCUGCUGGGCCGAACCUGACGCUGAGGGACGAAAGCUAGGGGAGCGAAUGGGAUUAGAUACCCCAGUAGUC